UAGGGAAUCUUCCACAAUGGGCGCAAGCCUGAUGGAGCAACACCGCGUGAGUGAAGAAGGGUUUCGGCUCGUAAAGCUCUGUUGUUAAAGAAGAACACGUAUGAGAGUAACUGUUCAAUGUGUGACGGUAUCUUACCAGAAAGGAACGGCUAAAUACGUGCAG
rnacentral:rRNA from 1 species